rnacentral:rRNA from 1 species
AUUGAACGCUGGCGGCAGGCCUAACACAUGCAAGUCGAGCGAGCGGAGGACGGGUGAGUAAUGUCUGGGAACCUGCCUGAUGGAGGGGGAUAACUACUGGAAACGGUAGCUAAUACCGCAUACCAUCAGAUGUGCCCAGAUGGGAUUAGCUAGAUGGUGGGGUAAAGGCCUACCAAGGCGACGAUCAGUAGCGGGUCUGAGAGGAUGAUCCGCCACACUGGGACUGAGACACGGCCCAGACUCCUGCGGGGGGCAGCAGUGGGGAAUUUUGGACAAUGGGGGCAACCCUGACGCAGCCAUGCCGCGUGAAUGAAGAAGGCCUUCGGGUUGUAAAGUUCUUUCGGUAGCGAGGCGUUAACUACAGAAGAAGCACAGGCUAACUCCGUGCCAGCAGCCGCGGUAAUUC